AUUUUAAGUUUCACGCCAGUUGUACCAAAGGUUAUAAGCGCUAUAGCGCAUCAUAAGCAUAUAUAUCUUAUAUAAGAUAUCUAUGAUCAUAAGUUUCAGAUGGCAUGCAACAUGUACGCAGUGCGUACCUAUUUUUAUAUUUAUCUGGUCCUCAGUGGGCGUACAGCUAUUGCCUCGGGUGGUUGACGUCUUCCCGAACUUGAUCGACACAUUCGCUGAAAUAUGUUCUUGAAAGCCUCUCUGUAUGUUUGGUCCAGGCAGGCAUAAAUUAUUGGAUUGCAUAGACUGUUAAAAUAAGGAAAUACGAGUACUACUGCUACAAUUUCUAUGCGCUCUCUUGAAUAGUACGUAAGCAAUAGAUCAAUAAAGAAAGGUCCCCAACAAAGUAUAAAUACUCCCGCGACAACGAGUAACACUCGGAUAGUCUUCAGAUUUUGAAGAAAAGCACUUUGUUGGUUUCGAUCAUUGAAGGUUUGUCCCAGUUCGCCAUUUCGUAGCAUCUUUUGUCGUUUAUGAACAACAACAAAAAUGAGAGCGUACAUAAUCAGUAUGACAAGGGUAGGUAAAAAAAACGCACUUACUGCCAGAAAAGUAUAGAAUCCUUUCCCUAUGUUGUUAUCAUUAAGACAAGAAACCGACACUUUGGCAGUAUACAAGAUUCCUCUGCUUCCUGAAUGAGGAGUGGCGGCGUAGGUGGCAAAGGCAGUUGAGAUGAACCAAAUGAUAAAAAUUAUUUUUAAUGAUUUCGAGGUUGUCAUUCUGGCUCUAUACUGAAGUGGUUUCCUCAUUUUCAGGUAUCGAUCGAAACUGAUGAACGUCAGUGAAUAAAUAGAUGCUGUUAACGCGAAAGUAUCUAGCCACACCAUAAAACGACAUACAUGAUUAUUUGUAACAACUGGUCCAAAAACGAGUUGAAACAACAACAGUGGUUCCAAAAUCAUGCCAACCAAAAGAUCAGCGACAGCCAGACAAACAAUGAAAUAUUUAUUUGGUUCAUGAAGACUUCUUUCCCUCCAGGUCGCCACCAAAACCAAAGUGUUGCCAAGAAUUGUAACAAUGGCGAAAAUAAUGAAUAUAAUCAUCC